GGGCUGUUAGCUCAGUCUGGUAGAGCAGCCGCCUCUUAAGCGGAAGUGCGUAGGUUCAAAUCCUACACAGCCCA
rnacentral:tRNA from 1 species